UUGCCCACUGGAGGUUCACUGUAUCUCUAGUGUCCAUUGAAGGGGGGUAGAGCGAACCUCUCAAAAACCUGGGGCAGGGGCCACACCUCUGCCUCUGGACCUGUCGGGAGUAACAAAU
ensembl:snoRNA